AUAGUGAUAUAAAAUAUACAUUUGCUAUGUACUACAUGUGUCAUAUAUAAUAAUUUAUGAAUCAACUACAUGUAGAUAUUUAUUAUUGCAUAAAGAUUUUGCUGUGGAGGCAUGCUGAAUCUUUUCUAUUUUAUUUUAUUUAUCCAGAGAGAGAGAAAUGGGGAGAGAUCCCUCCAUAUUAUAAUUAAGAGAAAUGGGGAGAGAUCCCUCCAUAUUAUAAUUAUCUAUCUCUAGAUUUACGGAGAUACACUAUCUUAGUAGAGGAGUGCAUGGGAGCGGGACCACCUAGGCAGGCCCAAGAUCAUCACUGGUGAUCACCAUUAAUUUGUCAUUACACUUAACACUUCAGGAAUACACGGUAAGUACAUCCCACUAAUCAUUAGAGGUGCAGCAGGAGAGGGAUGUCUAGGUUAGAGGCCCAUAAAUCCACUUGACCAUAAAUUAAUCUUCACACCCAGAGGAACAAUAUGUACUCAAUCAUAUCCAAGCGAACCCUGAUGUAUGUACAUUUCAAUCCAGCACUCAACUUCAUUUGAGUCGAUCGAUUCAUGCUAGUUCGAUCGGAAUGUAUACUAAAACACUUUGAUCAUCAUUCCCAUAUUAUGAAGGUUUAGAGAGAUCAAUUCCUAGGGAGAUCCGAUUUAUGUGGAUCCAGGGCACUAGAACAAUGGAUUACAUAUGAAGAGAUCAAGACUCUUUCUAGUCCUAGCUCAAUCCACCUUUGGGCCCAACAAGUUUCGGUCAAUUCGGCCUAUUUGGAUCAACAUUUUCCAAUGUAUGAACUAACGUUGGAAAAUUCUUUGAUUCUCGGCUAUUACAAAGGUGGUGGGUCUUCUGACGUGCAGGUGGAAUCAACUCCUGUUGUUGAGGUUCCGGCAGAAGCGCCGGCCGCCCCAGCAGAAGCCGAACCUGCGCCUGCACCGCCUGCUGAGCCAGUAGUAGCUGAGGCCGAGCCCGCCGCUCCCGCCGUCGAGGAGUCCAAGGAAGAAGCCCCAGCCGUAGCACCAGAGGAGGCCACCCCAGAAGCACCACCAGCGGAGCCCGAGGAGAAGCCUGUCGAAGAGCCUGCAGUCGAGGCAUCAACCGAGGCUGAACCAGUGGCUACGGAGCCAAAAGAAGAA
rnacentral:lncRNA from 1 species